rnacentral:lncRNA from 1 species
CUGGCCUUUCUUGGCUCAUGCACAAUCCGAAAUCCUUUUGCCUUAUAGGCAAUAGUACCAAGUCCAUCUUCUGGACUAACAAAGCUCAUUAGAUCCUAAGUCAAUCAACCAACCAUCCUCACAUGACUUGGAACUGAUGAGUCAUCAUUUGGCCUGACCGGCCUUGGGACUUAACCCAGACAACAGAUAUGAUUUGUUCAUACCAACCGAUGCAUUCAUUAAUCAGAUUAGUUCCGACACCUUGAACCAUCAUCCAGAGGUCAGGUCGUCCAUACUCAACCAUGAUCAG